AGAGGAAGGAGACAACUGGAAGGCAGAAUCCAUACCUAUCGGGACGGGUCUAAGAAGAAACUGCCUCGAGUCCCAUCAUCUGUGAAUAGAGGCAGAGACCCCGGAUCAAGGGUCCAGCAAUGCUGCUUCCUAAGAUCAAAUGACCCUGGUUAAUAAUUAAUAUCAAACGAGCAAACCAACAAACAAAUCAGAAACACCUGCUAGCCUUUUUUUUGGCAUUUGCGAUGGAACCAAGAUUUCUUGCACAGGAAAAGGGCACCCAGAUCCUAUCGCCGAUGGACCUGAGGGCCACAAGCCAAAAUCCCAUAUCAGGUAACUCUUCAGUAGAAAGGGUCAAGGCUCCUCACAUUUUCUAUCUACAGCCCCGUUGUAUACCGAAGAUUCCCUGGAAACUGAUUUUCCAUUUUUAUAUAAAGUCCUGCAAACAAAGAA